rnacentral:rRNA from 1 species
GCCCUUAGAGUUUGAUCCUGGCUCAGAACGAACGCUGGCGGCAUGCCUAACACAUGCAAGUCGAACGAACCCUUCGGGGUUAGUGGCGCACGGGUGCGUAACGCGUGGGAACCUGCCUUUAGGUUCGGAAUAACUCAGAGAAAUUUGAGCUAAUACCGGAUAAUGUCUUCGGACCAAAGAUUUAUCGCCUUUAGAUGGGCCCGCGUUGGAUUAGCUAGUUGGUGGGGUAAAGGCCUACCAAGGCGACGAUCCAUAGCUGGUCUGAGAGGAUGAUCAGCCACACUGGGACUGAGACACGGCCCAGACUCCUACGGGAGGCAGCAGUGGGGAAUAUUGGACAAUGGGCGAAAGCCUGAUCCAGCAAUGCCGCGUGAGUGAUGAAGGCCUUAGGGUUGUAAAGCUCUUUUACCAGGGAUGAUAAUGACAGUACCUGGAGAAUAAGCUCCGGCUAACUCCGUGCCAGCAGCCGCGGUAAUACGGAGGGAGCUAGCGUUGUUCGGAAUUACUGGGCGUAAAGCGCACGUAGGCGGCUUUUUAAGUCAGGGGUGAAAUCCCGGGGCUCAACCCCGGAACUGCCCUUGAAACUGGGAAGCUAGAAUCUUGGAGAGGCGAGUGGA